GAAAUGUGAUAACUAAUGUGAAUUGCAGAAUUCAGUGAAUCAUCGAGUCUUUGAACGCACAUUGCGCCCCCUGGUAUUCCGGGGGGCAUGCCUGUCCGAGCGUCAUUGCUGCCCUCAAGCCCGGCUUGUGUGUUGGGUCGCCGUCCCCCUCUCCGGGGGGACGGGCCCGAAAGGCAGCGGCGGCACCGCGUCCGAUCCUCGAGCGUAUGGGGCUUUGUCACAUGCUCUGUAGGAUUGGCCGGCGCCUGCCGACGUUUUCCAACCAUUCUUUCCAGGUUGACCUCGGAUCAGGUAGGGAUACCCGCUGAACUUAAGC
rnacentral:misc_RNA from 1 species